UACGGGGGGAGCAAGCGUUGUUCGGAUUUACUGGGCGUAAAGGGCGCGUAGGCGGCCACUGCAAGUCAGUUGUGAAAUCUCCGGGCUUAACUCGGAAAGGUCAACUGAUACUGCAGGGCUAGAGUGCAGAAGGGGCAACUGGAAUUCUCGGUGUAGCGGUGAAAUGCGUAGAUAUCGAGAGGAACACCUGCGGCGAAGGCGGGUUGCUGGGCUGACACUGAGACGCGAAAGCGUGGGGAGCGAACAGG
rnacentral:rRNA from 1 species